AAAGGGAGACCUAAUUCGGGUAUAAGACGAAAAAAUAGUAGUCGAAACCAAGAAUCAAUCCCAAAAGGUCGGAACGAGGUAUGUGGCUUCCAAACUAGGUUCUGGGUUCAUAAAAGACCUGAAUCAGGAACAAGGGCUAUUAGCUCAGGUGGUUAGAGCGCACCCCUGAUAAGGGUGAGGUCCCUGGUUCGAGUCCAGGAUGGCCCACCUGCACAGGUGGCAAAAACAAGAAAAGCGAGGAAUCAGCACCUUAUCCUAAUUUAUAUAUAGGAGAGAAUGCUGGCUCUGAGUAAAGAGUCCAGAGGAACCCCGAAAACUGCAUAGAGCUAGGUGAAAAAGCCAAAAAAGAAGACCGCAAG
rnacentral:tRNA from 1 species